UCUGCAGUAAGAUAGGCUUCUUUCCUAGUCUGGCUGCCUUUGCGCAAGCUGCAAAACUCCUCAAAAUUCCUCAGGUCCUCCACUGGGCUCUCAGGUUCUAGGAUUCAUUGUUUAUGCACCUGACCAUUAAGUAGAGUUACUGCUGAACUCAAAUGAGGGCUUCGGUACCUUCCUCUAAGACUUCCCAUCCACACCAAGGGUCAUCGGCUCCCUGGAAGACACACUGCUCAUGUGGAUAAUCUAUCAAGCACCUUAAUCUCAUGAUCUGGUCACGUCACCAAUGUCAGGGACAUUUCACUUCUGCUCUACCUGAGACAGACCCAGAGUUGCACCCUGGAGAGCAGAGCCAAUUUUGGAACUGAUGCAUCUUUGAAAUGUGAUUAUGAGGACACCUUUACUGCAGGGUUGAGGGAGUUGAACUCACCAGAUGGAUUUCUAAGUGACAUACUAUGGAGCAAUGGGAGAAGAUGCACUCCUGCUGACUAUGUAUCAGAGGACCCUUAACAACAAGGAUGCAGGUAGUGUAUGAGAAAUAAUACACUUUUAUACAUUUUAGCUUCAUUUCAGCCAAUAAUUUUGAUUCUUAAUU
rnacentral:lncRNA from 1 species